UAAAGCUAGCCGCUACGUACUUAAGUAGUCUUGAGAGGUGAUGUCGACGACGAGGGUGUGGUUUAUCCGUGUGCUUUCCUUGGUGAUGCUGCUGCUCACUCUGAUGCUGCUCCUUGUCAUCGCCGAUCCCGUCGCCUGCUUCCACUGCCAAAAUUGCGGUCGGGGCAAUUGUAAAUGAAAUAUUUCAUUUAAUCUGCUAAUUAAGGAGAUGAACAUUCAAAGAAUUGUCAGUAUAAAUGGAAACAUGCCUUCUGAACAAUAAAACGUAGACAGGAGAAGGAUGUGAAGAACUGCAUUGUCUGGAUUUUCCUGUAUAUGUAGAAAUUGGAAUAUGUAUCGGUAUAUAGAAAUGUAUGUACUUUAAUUUAGAACACGAUAUUAAGUGGUUAUAUUACUUGAAACAUUAUUUAAAAAUAGUAUACUCAUUGUAUAUGGAUGUAGUAUAUACUGCAUACAAUUGUUGCAUCC